rnacentral:rRNA from 1 species
AGAGUUUGAUUAUGGCUCAGGAUGAACGCUGGCGGCGUGCUUAACACAUGCAAGUCGAACGCUGAAGCUCCCAGCUUGCUGGGGGUGGAUGAGUGGCGAACGGGUGAGUAUCACGUGAGUAACCUGCCCUUGACUCUGGGAUAAGCCCGGGAAACUGGGUCUAAUACUGGAUAGGACUGGCCAUCGCAUGGUGGUUGGUUGAAAGCUUUUGCGGUUUUGGAUGGACUCGCGGCCUAUCAGCUUGUUGGUGGGGUAAUGGCCUACCAAGGCUUUGACGGGUAGCCGGCCUGAGAGGGUGACCGGCCACACUGGGACUGAGACACGGCCCAGACUCCUACGGGAGGCAGCAGUGGGGGAUAUUGCACAAUGGGCGCAAGCCUGAAUGCAGCGACGCCGCGUGAGGGAUGACGGCCUUCGGGUUGUAAACCUCUUUCAGUUGGGAAGAAGCCUUUCGGGGUGACGGUACCUUCAGAAGAAGCACCGGCUAACUACGUGCCAGCCGCAGC